AAUACUUGAUCAUGAGGAUUAUAGGGGAGAAUAUAAAAAGCUCAACAGUACAAAGGAAACAACCCACUAGGGAGCAGAGGAGCAAGAGAGACAUUUUUAGAGUAAUGGGAGAUCUCUGUGAUCUUCACAGAGAUCACAAUUUGAAAGAGGCUUGAAGAACGGAUAGGAUUUUUGUUGCUGUUGCUGUUUAUUGAAACAACAACUCACAGGUAACAUUUUCAGAGAGGCCUGUAGUUUGGUUUGACUUUUAGAGCCCUGGAACGUGAUGCAUGCUGAAGAGGAUUUUUUUUUUUAACAUGUAAACACAAAGUAAUUUUUGCUUUGUGUCUCAAUGGCAGCUUUUAGGCUGCAGAGUGAUGAGCCUCGAAGCAGAAUUACAGGAAGAAAACUCUAGAGUUUACACAGAGGAUGGAUUUCUCUGACUGAGGAAGCCACCCAAAGGAUUAAAACCCCAAAAGUACCACAUCUUCUUUUCAGCGGAUAAGAUACUUUUCAGGGAAUUACAUCCCCUAAAGAGAGAUAUUGAAGUCCCUACCUCUGGUGCCUAUUAAUGUGACCAUAUGUGGAAAUUGGGUCUUAGCAGACGUAAUCAAGUUAAGAUGAAAUCAUUAGGGUGGGCCAUAAUCCAAUAUGACUGUUAUCUUUAUAAGAAGAACAUUUGGACACAGGCACAUCUAGAAUAGCACGCGAUGACAGAGGCAGAGACAGGAGUCAGCACCGCAGGAGCCAAAGAACACCAGGAUUGCUGUAGGACCAACCUGCUGGCCCCUUGAUUUUGGCUUCUACCGCCCAGAACUAUGAAACAAUGAAUGCCUGCUGUUCUGAGCCACGCGGUCUGUAGUACUUCCUUACAGGAGCCCCAGGAGACCCACUCGGAAGCUGUGGGCUUUUUCUCCUCUUGGGAUGACAUACCACUCCACAAACUCAAUUAUUUUCCAUCUGGUGAAAGAAAAAGAAAGUUAUCUUGAAACAGGAGAAUGAAUGGGAAAAUAUGAGUGGCUCAGAAAGCUUCUCUUUAAUUAUUGACAGCAACAAAAUAGAGUGAAGAUAUCAGAAUGUGUGGGCGAGAGAUAGACUUUAAAUCUGAAUUGAAUUCAAGUUCAAGCUUCCCUGCUAUACCCACUAAGGGACCUGGCUGUGUCAUUUACCUGAGUCUAUUUUCCCCUAUUACAUAAUGAGGAUAACAG
rnacentral:lncRNA from 1 species